rnacentral:rRNA from 1 species
GAUGAACGCUGGCGGCGUGCCUAAUACAUGCAAGUCGAGCGAACAGACGAGGAGCUUGCUCCUCUGACGUUAGCGGCGGACGGGUGAGUAACACGUGGAUAACCUACCUAUAAGACUGGGAUAACUUCGGGAAACCGGAGCUAAUACCGGAUAAUAUAUUGAACCGCAUGGUUCAAUAGUGAAAGACGGUUUUGCUGUCACUUAUAGAUGGAUCCGCGCCGCAUUAGCUAGUUGGUAAGGUAACGGCUUACCAAGGCAACGAUGCGUAGCCGACCUGAGAGGGUAAUCGGCCACACUGGAACUGAGACACGGUCCAGACUCCUACGGGAGGCAGCAGUAGGGAAUCUUCCGCAAUGGGCGAAAGCCUGACGGAGCAACGCCGCGUGAGUGAUGAAGGUCUUCGGAUCGUAAAACUCUGUUAUUAGGGAAGAACAAAUGUGUAAGUAACUAUGCACGUCUUGACGAUACCUAAUCAGAAAGCCACGGCUAACUACGUG